rnacentral:rRNA from 1 species
GGCGGCAGGCCUAAUACAUGCAAGUCGAGCGCCCAGCAAUGGGAGCGGCGGACGGGUGAGCAACACGUGGGAACAUGCCCUUCGGUACGGAACAACUCAGGGAAACUUGAGCUAAUACCGUAUACGCCCCGCAAGGGGGAAAGAUUUAUCGCCGAAGGAUUGGCCCGCGUCCGAUUAGCUAGUUGGUGAGGUAACGGCCCACCAAGGCACCGAUCGGUAGCUGGUUUGAGAGAACGACCAGCCACACUGGGACUGANACACGGCCCANACUCCUACGGGAGGCAGCAGUAGGGAAUCUUGGACAAUGGGGGAAACCCUGAUCCAGCCAUGCCGCGUGAGUGAUGAAGGCCUUCGGGUUGUAAAACUCUUUCGGCGGGGACGAUAAUGACGGUACCCGCAGAAGAAGCUCCGGCUAACUUCGUGCCAGCAGCCGCGGUAAUACGAAGGGGGCUAGCGUUGUUCGGAAUUACUGGGCGUNAAGCGCGCGCAGGCGGGCUUUCA